ACAUGCCUACAACAUAGCGUUAAUGCAUCGGAUCCCAUUAGAACUCCGCAAUUAAGCACACCCGGGCUAGAUUAGCACUGGGAUGGGUGAUCGCUCGGUAAGUACUAGUAUUUUACAUGCC
rnacentral:rRNA from 1 species